GUGAGGAAUAUUGCGCAAUGGAGGCAACUCUGACGCAGCCAUGCCGCGUGCAGGAAGAAGGCGCUACGCGUUGUAAACUGCUUUUAACCGGGAAGAAACCCCAGGACGUGUCCUGGGUUGACGGUACCGGAGGAAUAAGCACCGGCUAACUUCGUGCCAGCAGCCGCGGUAAUACGAAGGGUGCAAGCGUUAUCCGGAUUCAUUGGGUUUAAAGGGUGCGUAGGCGGAGCGUUAAGGCAGUGGUGAAAUCCUGCAGCUUAACUGUAGACUUGCCAUUGAUACUGGCGCUCUUGAGUGCGCUUGAAGUGGGCGGAAUGUGCCGUGUAGCGGUGAAAUGCUUAGAUAUGGCACAGAACACCAAUUGCGAAGGCAGCUCACUAAGGCGAUACUGACGCUGAGGCACGAAAGCGUGGGGAUCGAACAGGAUUAGAAACCCCAGUAGUCC
rnacentral:rRNA from 1 species